rnacentral:tRNA from 1 species
AGAAAGUGUCAGAGUGGUUAUGUGACUGGCUUGAAACUAGUCUACGGGGGUUCAAUUCCCUCCUUUCUU